rnacentral:rRNA from 1 species
UACGAAGGGGGCUAGCGUUGCUCGGAAUUACUGGGCGUAAAGGGCGCGUAGGCGGACAGUUAAGUUGGGGGUGAAAGCCCGGGGCUCAACCUCGGAAUUGCCUUCAAUACUGGCUGUCUUGAGUAUGAGAGAGGUGUGUGGAACUCCGAGUGUAGAGGUGAAAUUCGUAGAUAUUCGGAAGAACACCAGUGGCGAAGGCGACACACUGGCUCAUUACUGACGCUGAGGUGCGAAAGCGUGGGGAGCAAACAGG